rnacentral:rRNA from 1 species
GAUGAACGCUGACAGAAUGCUUAACACAUGCAAGUCAACUUGAACUUCGGUUUGGGUGGCGGACGGGUGAGUAACGCGUAAAGAACUUGCCUCACAGAUAGGGACAACAUUUGGAAACGAAUGCUAAUACCUGAUAUUAUGAUUUUAGGGCAUCCUAGAAUUAUGAAAGCUAUAUGCGCUGUGGGAGAGCUUUGCGUCCCAUUAGCUAGUUGGAGAGGUAACGGCUCACCAAGGCGAUGAUGGGUAGCCGGCCUGAGAGGGUGAUCGGCCACAAGGGGACUGAGACACGGCCCUUACUCCUACGGGAGGCAGCAGUGGGGAAUAUUGGACAAUGGACCAAGAGUCUGAUCCAGCAAUUCUGUGUGCACGAUGAAGUUUUUCGGAAUGUAAAGUGCUUUCAGUUGGGAAGAAAAAAAUGACGGUACCAACAGAAGAAGUGACGGCUAAAUACGUGCCAGCAGCCGCGGUAAUACGUAUGUCACAAGCGUUAUCCGGAUUUAUUGGGCGUAAAGCGCGUCUAGGUGGUUAUAUAAGUCUGAUGUGAAAAUGCAGGGCUCAACUCUGUAUUGCGUUGGAAACUGUGUAACUAGAGUACUGGAGAGGUAAGCGGAACUACAAGUGUAGAGGUGAAAUUCGUAGAUAUUUGUAGGGAUGCCGAUGGGGAAGCCAGCUUACUGGACAGAUACUGACGCUGAAGCGCGAAAGCGUGGGUAGCAAACAGG